UAAUUUUUUGAUACUCGUAAUGUACAUAUGACAUAAUUAGCUUACAUCCACAUAACCAGAUUAAAAUUGCUGAAUUAAUUUCAUUGCAAACCUGAAAUGCUGAAAAUAUUCCACCAGACGUUCCUUAUUGUCAGUGACGCUCCAUUGACAGUUCCAUUCUUCACUCAUCCGCAGCCUCGAUACACCUCAAUUUUCGGAAACCAUGAAAACUGUGCUUGUCAUUGUCCUCACCUUUUCUUUGGCUGCAACAUCCUUAGCCGCCCCGUGGAGAAAAUUGGUGGAAAAUCCGUCCGACCUUGUGGACGACGUGGAUCUUGGGGGUGAUUUCGAUGGGACCAACGAUGCCCAAAUUGUAGGACCUGUCCAAUCUAUUGGAGAUUUUGCCGGUUCAGCAAGACUUAAUUGUUGCUGGAUUAAUCGACAAUAGGGCAAAUGCAACAUUAUUUUAUCCUGUCGUCCACUUAAUAUUGGAAAUUGUACCCCUAAAAUUUUUCCCAAUGUGUGAAUAGAGAAAUAAAUCAUAAAAAACUCUUUAUCAA